CCAUUUUUAAAUAGUUGCUAAAAGCAAAAGUUAUUACUGGUGAAAAGUCCAGAAAAAGGACACUAUGUGACACCAAGUUCAGCUCUCACCACAUGUCAGAUCUUGUAAAUGUUUUCUUACAAGUCACUGGCAUCUUAGGCAAAUUCAAUCUAUUAUAAUAGUCAAUCUGUUGUCUAUUUGAACAUUCAUCAAAAAAUCAUGGUCAGUAUUCUCAAAUUCUUAGUUGCAUAUGAUCAGUUUCCUUCAACCAGGAGUUCUUCAAGGGUAAAGGUUUAUAUUGUAUUUAUUUUUUCUUAUUAAUAAAUGUGUCUUCCUUCUAAUGCC
ensembl:lncRNA novel transcript, sense intronic to ZNF280D